AGUGUACCUUGGCUUGAGGUUUGCGAGGUGGUCGCGUGUGGGAGAGGCGCUUGUGUUAAUGGUCGAAUUCCUUCACUCUUUGAAUCGAGCACACCCUGAGAUGGCGACGCUUUGAGAGCCGGUCGUCGAGAGGAGUGGCGGCGGCUAUGAAGGCGGGAUAUGAAUACGGCGAGAAAGUGAAGAAAAGGAAGUAGAAGGAACAGAAGAAAUUAGAACAAGAAGUAGAGGAAACUGAAGAGGAGAGAAGAGAGAAGACAAUUACCCAGGCCUUUCCCCUCUCUCGUCCCCUCUCCGCACCCCGCCAGGGUUUCUCUCUCUCCUGGGUG